rnacentral:lncRNA from 1 species
CGGCGAGUGAGCGCGCGCCGACCGUCCACACGGUUUCUCUUUCUCCCCAGGGAGAGCGCGCGGCGGACCCACCCCGGACGCGCGGCGGCACCGAGAAGCCGGGCCGAGCGUCCUUAGGUUCAGUUUUGAAUGUGAAUGGCAGUAAACUAAUACCCAGGAUUUCUGUAUAAGAAGUCGAUCAAAAGGACUGUACUGUCAGGUAAGAAUCUCGUUUUACUU